UCCAUCUGCACCAGCAGCUCUGUCUUCAUCCGAAGGCUUCCUUCGUGCUCUCCCCUAGAGAGAGAAAGGAGAGGCAAGAUAAUGACAUGGGAGGCAGUCUUCUGUGAAAAUUCAUCCUCCAAGCUCCCAUCACCACUGCCAAAGACCUUCCCACCAACAAAGAGCUCACUUCAGGAUCUGAACAUCCAGAUGGGCUCUACUAGUAAAUACUGACCAUAUCUGGCAGGCUGUCCUUCCUCUUCACUUGAAUAGAUGGCCAUAAAGGACAAAAAAUGGCUGUCUUGAACAACAUGAAAUUCAACUUCUCAUCUCUGCAUGAAUCUUGGGGCACCCCAAACCAGAAUCCUAUUCAUUUGACCACGACAACAGGCUCAGCCUAAUGAACUGAAAGAAGAGCGUCAAUGCUGGGACACUCAUCACACAUAUAGAGACCACCUUACUAGAAGCAAGUAACUUGUUCUCUUGUCACAAUGGCAGCAAUCUUCCCAAUGAAAAGUUGGAUAUUAGAACUCUUUAUUAGAACCAUACAUGUUUUUAAGGAGCUCCCUGGGGUGCAGUGAGACCAAGGGGCAAGAUGAGACCAAACAUCCAAGUGGAAGGAGAACCACAUCUGGAGCCUCUGUUUCCAUAUAGACCACGCCACUGCCCUUUCCACUGCCAGAGAAUAUACAGAAUCCUGGAGCCUAUGAUACCAUGGAGAUAGCACAUCCAGAGAGCUUCAAUGAGAUGUUCUAGCCUAUCCAAAAGUCUUGUUCUAGAGCCACUCAGAGGACAUGUGAUCACUCCCUACUUCCACCAAGAGCAAUUGCUUCUACAGAAUUCAAGGAAGCCAACAACCAAGCAAAAUUAUCCAUCCUGAUCCCAGCCAUUUGCUAUCCAACCUUCAUGCUUGCGGGUACAAACAUCUACUCAGAGGAGAGCUGAAGGAACCCCAAGCCAUCAACCUCUAUCCCAAAAGGGAAGCAAAGCUCUCCAAUGACAUUCACUCACAGAAUGUUC